UGGGGGAUAUUGCACAAUGGGCGAAAGCCUGAUGCAGCGACGCCGCGUGGGGGAUGAAGGCCUUCGGGUUGUAAACUUCUUUUGCUCUGAACAAGGCAUGCUAAUGGGUGUGUUGAGUGUAGGGGUUGAUUAGCGCCGGCUAACUACGUGCCAGCAGCCGCGGUAAUACGUAGGGCGCGAGCGUUGUCCGGAAUUAUUGGGCGUAAAGGGCUUGUAGGUGGCUGGUUGCGUCUGUCGUGAAAGCUCAUGGCUUAACUGUGGGUUUGCGGUGGGUACGGGCUGGCUUGAGUGCAGUAGGGGAGGCUGGAAUUCCUGGUGUAGCGGUGGAAUGCGCAGAUAUCAGGAGGAAUACCGGUGGCGAAGGCGGGUCUCUGGGCUGUUACUGACACUGAGGAGCGAAAGCAUGGGGGGCGAACAGG
rnacentral:rRNA from 1 species